rnacentral:tRNA from 1 species
GGGCGAUUAGCUCAGUUGGGAGAGCACCUGCCUUACAAGCAGGGGGUCGGCGGUUCGAGCCCGUCAUCGCCCACCA